GUUCAGGGCUGGGGCUCAGCCCCACGCCCGGGAAGGAGCGGGACAGGCCGAGGGGCUCCACCAGGCACAGCUGUGGGCACGAGCCGAGCAGUUCUAACUGAAGCUUUAGCUCCUGUCAGCAAUGCCACUUUUGCCUGCCAGCUGGAAAAGUAACCAGUAGUAGAGCAGGUGGAGAUUUUUCUAGAGGUUAUCUGAUUUGAUAACUAGAGGGAAACAUUGGCUUAAACUGAAGUUCUGAAGAGCUAUUACAGAUUUUCACUCAGAGUGCCAUAACUUGGCUUACAUUCUGCUGAUUAAGGACGUGCUCAGGGGAAGAAGACUGAAAGGUGAAGAAGAUUUGGGACCCAUAGAGUUCUAAACACAUACUUACCCAUAUCUGAGCAGAGCAAGUGGAAUUAUGAAUGAGCUGAUUGCUGUCUGUCUUUGAGGCACUGUCAUAUUAUUGCUGUUUGAGACACAGGAAAGCAUCAGCACCAUAUCUUGAGAAGAGAAUGGUUUGUUGGGAGGCUGAACUUACACAGGUCUUGUACAUGGUAGAGACACCACUCAACACUCACUGCUUCUAGGAAUUGAGUAAUUAGAUCAUGCUCAGUGAGAAUUUGAUUCUACCACAAACCUGAUGGUAGCCACGCUUGUGCCACCAAGGCAUGGCAUCACAUAUGCAAGACGGAAACUUGGCAAAGAAUGAGCAUGCUUUUCAGCCUGAAGGCACUAGUGUAGUUGUACAGCUUCCUGCUCAACUACUAAGCUGCUUAACCAACAGAAAAUUAAUGAAAGCUAAGCAGAAGCUACUGCUCUGUCUGGGUUACAUUCACUGGUAAUGAACUUUCACAGAAAAAUAAA